AUGACUACAACUCCCAGUACUGAAGAGGCUGCUUUUGCGAGGAGGCGGUGGGGAAAGGCUACGGAGGAUUUCGGAACUUGGAGUUUUUGCAUUGAGUGUGGUGUCCGCAGGUUUCGGCACGUUCUUUUGGGUUGUAACUGGGGAAGGCAUGGUGCUACAUUAGAGAACUGAUGUAAUAAUGUCUAGUAUAAGUGGGAAAUGUUUCAGAACUUCUCAGACUGGGCGCGGUGGCUCAUGCCUGUAAUCCCAGCACUUUGGGAGGUCGAGGUGGGCGGAUCACCUGAGGCUGGAGUGACUCCAUCCUGAGACUCCAUCUCAAAAAAAGAAAGAAAGAAAGAAAACGUCCUGACUAUACAGGUGGUUGGGUAAGUCACUCAACCUCUCCACAAAAUAGAAAUUGUAAUUAAUGAAGUCCCUGCCAAUUCCAACAUACUAUGAUUCUAUCUUGAUAAUUGUUAACCCAGGAGAGAAAACUAAGAUUAAGUGACUUGCCAGGGUUACAUAACAAAUUAUUGACAAAUCUGGGACAAGGCUGUAUCUGCUGACUUGAAGUCCAAUACUUUUUUUACCUUAUGAUUCCAAGGACAUAAGUAAACCAUUAGCAAAAUCAAAUCUACAUAAUAAUGACCCAUAUAUGAGGAUUAAAUUGCUGAAAAUUAUAUUUUCAAUACUGGGCAGAGAGCCAAUGGUUGGAUUAUGAAACAUGGCUGAGAAAUUGUUUUCUAAAAACAACUUCUAGGGCGGGGCGCAGUGGCUCAUGCCCGUAAUCCCAGCACUUUGGGAGGCCAAGGCAGGUGGAUCACAAGGUCAAGAGUUCAAGACCAGCCUGGCGAAGAUGGCGAAACCCCGGCUCUACUAAAAAUACAAAAAUUAGCCAGGCCUGGUGGUGGGCACCUGUAAUCCCAGCUACUCAGGAGGCUGAGGCAGGGAAUUGCUUGAACCCGGGAGGCAGAGGUUGCAGUGAGCCAAGAUCACACCACUGCCCUACAGCCUGGGUGACAGAGUGAGACCCCGUCUCAAAAAAAAAGAAAAAACAUUAAAAAAUUUAUGGGCCGGGCACAGUGGCUCACUCCUGUAAUCCCAGAACUUUGGGAGGCCGAGGUGUGCAGAUCAUGAGGUCAGGAGUUUGAAACCAGCCUGGCCAAUAUGGUGAAACCCCAUCUCUACUAAAAAUACAAAAAGUUAGCAGAGCGUAUUGGCGUGCACCUGUAAUCCCAGCUACUCAGGAGGCUGAGGCAAGAAAAUUGCUUGAACCCAGGAGGCAGAGGUUGCAGUGAGCUGAGAUGGUGCCAUUGGACUUCAGCUAGGACUAUCCCUAUAAUAACUUGGAGCCAUAUAGUUUCCUUGGCUGGGCACAGUGGCUCACACCAGUAAUCCCAGCAAUUUGGGAGGCCAAGGUGGUCAAAUAACUUGAGGUCAGGAGUUCGAGACCAGCAUGGCCAACAUGGCAAAAUCCAGUCUCUACUAAAAAUACAAAAAUUAGCCAGGCGUGGUGGCACCUGCUUGUAAUGCCAGCUACUCGGGAGGGUGAGGUAUAAGUAUCACUUAAGCCCGGGAGGUGGAAGUUGCAGUAAGCCAAGAUCGUGCCAUUGCACUCCAGCCUGGGUGACAGAGGGAAACUCUGUCUAAAAAAAAAUAAUAAUAAAGUUUCCUUUAGCCAGGCACAGUGGUAGUGCAUGUCUGUAAUCCCAGCCACUCUGGAGACUGAGACCUGAGGAUCCUUUGAGCCCAGGAGUUCCAGAAGAGCAUGAGCAACAUAGUGAGAACCCUCCCCCACAACUCUUUUCCCUCUUCCCAAAAAUAAAGAAAAUAAAAUGAUGGGAAAAACA